rnacentral:rRNA from 1 species
GAUGAACGCUGGCGGCGUGCCUAAUACAUGCAAGUCGAGCGAACAGACGAGGAGCUUGCUCCUCUGACGUUAGCGGCGGACGGGUGAGUAACACGUGGAUAACCUACCUAUAAGACUGGGAUAACUUCGGGAAACCGGAGCUAAUACCGGAUAAUAUAUUGAACCGCAUGGUUCAAUAGUGAAAGACGGUUUUGCUGUCACUUAUAGAUGGAUCCGCGCCGCAUUAGCUAGUUGGUAAGGUAACGGCUUACCAAGGCAACGAUGCGUAGCCGACCUGAGAGUGUGAUCGGCCACACUGGAACUGAGACACGGUCCAGACUCCUACGGGAGGCAGCAGUAGGGAAUCGUCCGCAAUGGGCGAAAGCCUGACGGAGCAACGCCACGUGAGUGAUGAAGGUCUUCGGAUCGUAAAACUCUGUUAUUAGGGAAGAACAAAUGUGUAAGUAACUAUGCACGUCUUGACGGUACCUAAUCAGAAAGCCACGGCUAACUACGUG